rnacentral:hammerhead_ribozyme from 1 species
AUUCAGCUGAUGAGUCCCAAAUAAGAUGAAAUGCGAGUCAUGUAU